UUCCCUUUGAUCUCCGAUUAAUGAGGAAGCAAGUGAUAAAGUUUUGGAGGUGGAACAGAAAUAUAACGAGGUUCGCAGACCUGUCUACAUUAAACGGAAUGAAAUCAUCCAAUCCAUUCCAGACUUUUGGUUAACUGCGUUUCUUUAGUUGGUUUGGUGAAACUGAACUGAAAAAUUUCUCAGAUGGAGUAACAGAUGAGGUGGCAGAGAUUAUCAAGGAAGAUUUAUGGCCCAACCCUUUGAAAUAUUUUAAUAAUGCAAGU